CCUACGGGGGGCACCAGUAGGGAAUCUUCGACAAUGGACGAAAGUCUGACCGAGCAACGCCGCGUGAGUGAAGAAGGUUUUCGGAUCGUAAAACUCUGUUGUUAGAGAAGAACAAGUAAGAGAGUAACUGCUCUUACCUUGACGGUAUCUAACCAGAAAGCCACGGCUAACUACGUGCCAGCAGCCGCGGUAAUACGUAGGUGGCAAGCGUUGUCCGGAUUUAUUGGGCGUAAAGCGAGCGCAGGCGGUUUCUUAAGUCUGAUGUGAAAGCCCCCGGCUCAACCGGGGAGGGUCAUUGGAAACUGGGAGACUUGAGUGCAGAAGAGGAGAGUGGAAUCCAUGUGUAGCGGUGAAAUGCGUAGAUAUAUGGGGGAACACCAGUGGCGAAGGCGGCUCUCUGGUCUGUAACUGACGCUGAGGCUCGAAAGCGUGGGGAGCAAACAGGAUUAGAUACCCGUGUAGUC
rnacentral:rRNA from 1 species